AGAAAUCGGUAUGUUUUCUUAUUUUUAAGGAAAAUGUUCUGAAAAAUGCAUCUUCUGCUUCUGCUUCUUCCUCUUCUUCUUCUUCCUGGUGCAUGCUGGGAGAUUUUCGGAGGGUGAAAGAAAGAGAAGACUGGUUGUGGACUUGAAGGGAACGAUUUCCUGGCCUUCCUGACAUCCAGGAAAAAGAGGCAGUAGAGAUGUACUGGAAACAGUGGAGAGGGAGAAGAUGCAGCAAAAGGCCCAGCCGGAUGGUUGCUGCUCCGUGUGGAACGUGUUCUCCAGUAUCAGAAAGGAUCAUGCCAGCCCACAUCAAACACCUGAUCAAGAACUUGAGAAUCUUCAGGCAGAAAAGAUGAAAACACCUGUUCAAAGUUCCAGUUUCCUGUACAUCAAACGAUGCCUGUCCUCUGUUCCACAUGUCUUCAGUCAGUCCUGGACCCUAUGACUAGGACACUAGUUCUACCAAGGCUUAAUAGAGAUAAUACAGCUGCACAAUUACAACAGGAACUAAUCUUUAGACGGUUAAUACAGAAGAUCUGCUAAAUUGGAGGAUUCCAAAGCUGAGCUGGAAGGGGAAGUCUCCACCUACAGGACAGCACAUCUAAACAUUCAUUUGGAUAAACUAUUAAACCAGAAGAACAAUCUGAGACCCAGUGUGAGCCUGCACCCUGGACACCCACACACCCCAAUAAUCCCCCUUCAAAGAGCGAGCCGCAUGGGAAGAUUGUUGUCAUUCACUUGCAAGGGGAGAUUCCAGUGCGUCCAGAGGUCUGGGCAAAAAUAAAAAACAACACAAGGGACUCCAUGUUCGUGAAGGAGUUGGCUGUGGCGUUUUGGGGCACCGACACCUUAGGGGAAAGGAGCCUGACUGGAAAGGAAUGCCCCACCACCAAGACCACCAGGCAGCCCCUCACCCUGCAGAAGCUAUGGGGUUUGA